rnacentral:rRNA from 1 species
GCUUGUCUCAAAGAUUAAGCAAAACAAUAUCAGGCUUUCUGCGGGUGGAAAUUAGAUCAAUAAACUCCUUGCCGUUAUUGGCCUGAAGAGUCACUUCAAAACCAUCGAACUCAUUAAUGAUUUUAGCUAAUCCAUUGCGCAGGAGGAUAUGAUCAUCGAUCAUAGCAAUCUGAAGGUUGGCAGGUUGCUCUUUUUUCAUAGAAGACAAAUGUCAAUGAAAAUAGCCAUGUAGAAACAAAAAAAUCCCCGCCUGGAAAAAGCGGGGAGUUCCAACUUCAACCCCGCCUGCGAUCUCAUCGAUGCGGCGGCCGGGUUGGUAUAUAGAGCAGGGUGUUAUCGCAACAGGGAGGUCAGGAUUAAAAGCGGACUUGCAUCAAGUUCCGUGUUGGGUAAGGAAGGCAGCAGG